UUAAUAUUAUAAUGUACUUUUUUUUUAGGAUGUCAAUGUGUUGUUACCUUUGCCCCAAAGAUUUUUCAACUGUUGCUUUUUACAUAAAUCACUUGAGGAACUUUCAUCUUUUGUUUGAGCCUUGUCAACUUCGUUGUAAUGUUGAUGGUUGUAUAAGAUUGUUUACUACAUACAAUAUGCUUAGAAAACAUAUAAAUAAAGAUCAUGCCAGUUUUGUAGUUAAUAUUGCUCGAACAUUUAGCAUAAGUUGUGAAAAUCCAGUAACACCUACUUCUGAAGCUAAAAGUGAAAUUAAAAUAGACAAAGAAUGUGAGAUAAAAAUUGAUGACGUUGCCUCACCUAUUGUUGAUGAGUAUGGCAUAUCACAAGCAGCAUUAAAAUUUAUUAUGGCUUUAAUGUCUUCCAGUUCUAUUCCUCUAAGUACUUCAGAGUUUGUUAAGAGUUGUUCACAAAACCUAAUUGAAGACAUACUUAGUUAUUUACUAUGUAAAACAAUUGCUAUACUGAAAACAUAUAGGUGUGAGAAACAUGUAAUUGACAAUUUAACAGAAGAGUUUAACAGAUGGAAAACACCUUUUAGUGGAAUUGAUUCACAACAUCGAAUAUUAUCAUAUUUGAAAAAUAAAGGCCUAUAUAUUGAACCAGUACCACAUUCAAUGGGUGAACGAUGGGAUACAAAACGUGACAGAAAGACUAAAAGGCAAAUGCAAGUCAAAGUAAAAGAUUUGUUUUAUUACAUACCUAUUGAAAGCACAAUAAAGCUUGUGUUGCGACAGCCAGAAGCCUUGAAAAUGUUAAAAGUGGAGCAAAUAUCUAAUUUAGAUUUUGUUGAAGAUUGGUUUUGUAGUGAAAAUGGAAAAAAAUUAAUGGCAUAUGCCAAAUUUAAAUUUCCGAAAAGUUUCCCUUUGUUUAUUCAAAUUUACUUCGAUGAAGUAGAGACCACAAAUCCUCUUGGAUCAAAAACAGGCAUUCAUAAACUUGGUGCCUUUUAUUUUGUGAUAAAGAACUUUCCUCAUGCGGCAAACUCAGCCUUGAACAACAUUCAUAUGUUAGCAUUAACUCACGCAAUAGACAUAAAGAAAUAUUCAGCAGAACCAGUGAUAAAAGUGAUUGUAAAUGAAUUGCAAAAACUUCAUGACGAAGGAUUUGAUAUUUUUAUUGAAGGCAAAAAAACUAACUUUAGAUGUUUACUAACCCAAAUUGUUGGAGACAAUUUAGGUCUGCACUCUAUAUUAGGAUAUAUGGAAAAUUUUAGUACUGUUUCUUUUCCAUGUGACAUGUGCAUGAUAUCACAAGUUGACAUACAGCAUGUUUUUAAAGAAGAAAAACAAGCUCUCAGAACAGACAUUUUAUACAACUCUCAAGUUCAUCAGAUGCAAAGAGGCAAAAUUUCUAAUAAGAACUGUGGAAUUAAGCGGUUUACUUGUUUAACUGAAUUGCCAUAUUAUCAUCCUGCUUCGAAUGAUUCUGCAGACAUAAUGCAUGAUAUUUUUGAAGGAGUUAUUCCGUGCGAAGUUAAAUUGUUUCUUUACCAUGUGUUGUAUGAUGUCAAAUGUAUCUCCAUUACAGAACUGAAUAGGCGAAUCAAGUUUAUGGAUUAUGGUAUUGUCUGCAGCUCAAAACCUAGUACUAUUAAUGAGUCGCGUAUGAAAAGUACUGACUCUUUACUAGGUCAACGCUCUGCUCAGAUGCUUACACUGUUUAUGUAUUUGCCACUUAUUUUGUCUGAUGUUAUUGAUAAAGUAGAUACACAAAAGUGGAAACUUUACCAAAUCUUAAAGCAAUUGUGUGAUAUAAUCUUAUCUCCAAAUUUAAAUUGUUUACAAGUCACGUAUAUUGAGGAGUUAGUAAUGGAACAUCAUUCAUUGAUGAAAGAAUGUUAUCCUGAGAAAAAACUUCUUUAUAAGCAUCACCGAAUGAUUCAUUAUGGAACUAUUAUAAAACGAAGUGGGCCUCUUCUUCACAUGAUUGUUAUAAGGUAUGAAGCCAAGCAUAAUUUUUCAAAAAGAUUAGCUCAUAUUGUUUGCAAUUUUCAGAACAUUUCUUAUUCAAUUGCAAAAAGACAUCAAAUUGCUCAUGCUUUAGCAUGGAUGACUCAUGGUCCCCUAAAAAUCAUUACUGAUGUAAAAAAUAGUGCAAUGUUUUUAGUUUCAGAAUUAAAGAACAAAAAUCUUAUUAUUCCCUUUAUUGGUGAAGAAAGUGAGGUUUUAGCUGUUGAUUGUGUUACCGUUUUGGGUCAGAAAUUUAGAUCAAGUGAAACAAUUCUUUAUGAUUUUAAUAGUGAUGGUGAACCAAGUUUUGCUCACAUUGACCAGAUUUUUGUUCAUUGCGAAGUUGUGUAUUUUUUCACAACAAAGUGGAUUGUCCACAAAUACUGCAAUCUAUCUUUAUCUUACUGUUGUUUACUAGAUAACCAAAAACUAUGUAUAAGAACAUGUGAUAUAAUAGAUUACAAACCUCUUAAUGCAGUGCGUUGUUUGAAAAUAAAUUGCCCAUUCAUGCACAUUAUCUUGAAUCAUCAACUAUGUCAUGAUAACUUUCUAUACCUACCCCACGAAAUAUCUGGCGAUAUUGAACAAUCCACAGAUUUUGUGCAGACAGAGUGUUUACAAACUGAUUUCACUGUUGAAAAUAAUCUUGUUUCACCUAAUCAGACUAGUUCUAGUACUAGUUUAUCAACUUCCAAUCCCUUUUCAGAUUCAACACAUUCACGUGAUAGCGAUGUUCUUCAUACUCCAUAUCCAGUACUUAGAAUAGACAAUAUCAAAUUUGAUGUUCGAAAACUGCUUGAUGAGCAUCAGACAGGUAAACGUGUCAUUGUUGAAUAUGAGACAACUGGAAUGUUAAUAAAGUACAGAUUUGAAAUGGUUCAUAUCCUUGUUAACAUUAUGGUAAAUAAAGUUGGAAACAUGUAUCCAUCAAGAGCAACAAAAACAAAUCUUGCUAUGUCAAUUAUUAAUGCUUUUCCUAAACUGCACUCUGGUGGACCUCUAGGAUAUGAAAAUUACUAUUGCGCUUAUAAGGAAGUUGAAGUAAAUGGCAAAAAAAAGAAAAUAACACCUCAUGGACAUAUCGAGGAGCGGCUGAAAACAAUUAGGAAGUUUGAUGGUGUCCAUGCCCAAUCUACACGAAAACGAAAAUCCGUUUCUCAAACGACUUUUGAUGUUGCAGUUUCAAAGAGAGUUUACAGCAACAUUUGAAAAUGCUAAAGAUUUGCUUACGCAAUGGGAGGAUAUGGCUCCUCAUGUUAUUACUUGGGCUCGUAGAAAGGAGAAUCCGAUGGCAAAGCAACUACUUUUAGAGCUUGACAGCCAGCUAAUACCUGCAAAUCAUCGAUAUAUGGAGUUUGCAUUUCACUUGCUUCCAUACAUUCUUCAAGUGCCUCCUAGAAAUAAGGAUCGACCGUCUACAGCUGAAGUUGCAGCUCACUUUAUUCAAAUCUUUC
rnacentral:misc_RNA from 1 species